rnacentral:lncRNA from 7 species
AGAAAAAAAAUAACACUUUCUGCCUUCAGGUCAUAUUCGUCCUCUGCUGAAGACAAAAUUCGUGAGUUGGGAGACCCCGGAAAAAAAAUAACACUUUCUGCCUUCAGGUCAUAUUCGUCCUCUGCUGAAGACAAAAUUCGUGAGGUAAGUCUUUUCAUACCUUCUGUUUCGAAGUGCCUUGGGUUCUAUUGCACUGCUGCGUGAAUUAUUCCAUUUUGUAGCAUUUCAUCCCAACCCACUUGGUUCAUGUACUGAUUUUGCUAUGUACUGUGAUCCCUUUCUAACAACAAAUUUAAUAGUUUUGUUCAUACACUGUUUCCUAAUUAGUGAUGAAGACAUCAACCUAUUUAUCCUUGGGUAGCAACCAAUGCAUCUGCUAUGUAUAUGAUUUCUCUCUACUUCCUCCUCUACCGAAUUGGCUAAUUAUAUGUGUACACCAAAAGUACCAUGAAUAGUUCAUUCCAAAAAAGGUACAGUUAACAAUCUACACAGUUUGCAUUUUCCCCGUGCUUUGUAAACUGUUAACACAACCAUGUGGUUAUACAUAUCUGAUGAUCACUAUAUAAUUGAUCUGUACAAACAUGUACAUAUAAUAUAUAUAUAUAUAACCACAUGGUAUAUAGAAAGAGAGAGAGAGAGAUCAUACCAACUAUAUAUAUAUAUACAUGUAUGAUCUAGGAGAUCUAUAUAAUACUAUCCUAUUCU